UGAUGAUGAUGAUGAUGAGGAUGAAGAAGAAGAACCAGAGAAAUGGAAAAGACACUACUCGUCAAAGCAUAGGAUAUUGCUGGUUGGAGAAGGAGACUUCUCCUUCUCUCUUUGCUUAGCCAGGGCUUUUGGUUCUGCGCAUAACAUGGUUGCCACUACUAUUGACACUCAAGAAAACAUAGAGAAAAAAUACAGUAAUGGAGUAGCAAAUGUGAGGGAACUAGAAGACAGGGGAUGCUUGGUUUUGUAUGGAGUGGAUGCAAAGGAGAUGAGCCAACACUUCUUCUUGAGGACUCAAAGGUUUGAUCGGAUUGUGUACAAUUUCCCUCAUGUUGGUUUCCUUUACCGUGAAGGUAGCUACUGCCAGAUUCAGUUAAGUUUCUGUAUUUCCCAUUUCUUUCAAUUUCCUUUGCUUUUAUGGGUCAUUGUUCCUGUUAUAUUAUUUUUUUUUUAGAAAAUGAAUUCUCAAUGCCAAGUAGAGAUUGAGAUGAGACAACAACAACUAAGCCUAACUAGUUGGGUUUGGCUAUAUUGAUUCUUUUUUAUUGCCAUUUAGUUCUGUCAGACACUAGUUUUUCCCUCCUCGUCAUCUGAGGUCUCCCCAUCAAGAUUUAAUUACACAUACAAUAGAGAAACUGUGAAGUGAAAAGGGGUUAAUUUCAUUUUCUUUUUCUAUUAGUGCCUGGAAGAGAAAAAGAAAUCCUUUCAACAUAAUAUUUUAUUUGAUUGUUAAUUUGUUUCUCAUUAAAAUCCUUUGAUUUUUUUUCCAUAGAAUUGAAGCAUAAGUGAAUCAUGAAAUUUGAUAUACGGAUACUCAGCAAGUCUUAAAUCCUUCUUCCUGGCAGAGGACUACCAAUUUCUUAUCAAUUGUAUGCAUGAGUUCAUCAUUUAAGCAUAUGCCAACGAUGGUUGGAUUCAACCAUGUAUUUGUGCAUUUGUAUGUGUUUCAAGAGUGGAAGAUUUUUGGAAUUCUGGUUGAUGAAAAUAGAAUAAUCAGCUGAUGCAUAUUUGGUGGGAUUGAAAUAGGUUGAAUAAGAGAUUGGUAAAGGGCUUUUUAUCUAAUUCCAAAGUGCUGUUAAAGGAGGACAAUGGUGAGAUUCAUGUAACACACAAGGAAGGGGAUCCUUAUGACAAAUGGGAUCUAGUAAAGAAAGCAGAGAAGAUAGGCCUGGUUAGGCAUGACAUUGUACCCUUCUCCAAGAAUGAUUAUCCAGGGUAUAACAACAAGCGAGCCCAUGGGAACCUCGCUGAUGCCCCCUUUAACCUUGGCUAUUGCAGUACUUACAAGUUCAAGCUCAGUUACUCUGUCAACUCCUCACAGAAUAACAAGAAGGAAGUGCCAGCAUUCGAGGGUAAAUAACUGCUUAGCAAUUCUUCAUUAGAAUUAAGGUAACUAUUACUCAAAAUGUUGCCCUCGUAUGUUUAUAAAGCUGAACUUUUCUUAAUCUUAAUCUUGUUAUUAGCCAUGGAAUAUGGAAAACUGGAUCACAUAGUUUAAGGCUGGAUCACAUAGCCAUGGAAUAUGGAACUUUUCUUAAUCUUAAUCUUCAUUGUGUGCUUUUGUCGAGUCCCGUACAAUUUCUACGAUGUUCUGCCUGCAUUGCCAAUGGUGCAAGUGAACUGCAAUGGCAUUUUAUGGGGAGUGCCAGACAUGAAUCUGUGGCUAAUUUGUGUUAGGUGCUUUAGUUCUUGAAAUACAGUACAACAAUAGCUUGCAGCUCUAACUCACUACAUCCUCAAGCACAUG
rnacentral:misc_RNA from 1 species